rnacentral:rRNA from 1 species
UAAGGAAUAUUGCUCAAUGGGAGAAAUCCUGAAGCAGCAACGCCGCGUGGAGGAUGAAGGGUUUUUAACUUGUAAACUCCUGUAAAGAAGGAAAAAAUUCCCAUUAGAUGGGAAAUGAUGGUACUUCUGGAGUAAGCCCCGGCUAACUACGUGCCAGCAGCCGCGGUAAUACGUAGGGGGCAAGCGUUGUCCGGAUUUACUGGGUGUAAAGGGUGCUCAGGCGGAUUUGUAAGUCAGAGGUGAAAUCUCACAGCUUAACUGUGAAACUGCCUUUGAUACUGCAAGCCUAGAGUAUGGAAGAGAGUGAUGGAAUAUCUGGUGUAGCAGUGAAAUGCGUAGAUAUCAGAUAGAACACCAAUGGCGAAGGCAGUCACUUGGUCCAUAACUGACGCUAAAGCACGAAAGCGUGGGUAGCAAACAGGAUUAGAUACCCUGGUAGUCCACGCCCUAAACGAUGAAUACUAGAUGUUGGCUUCGCAUGAAGUCAGUAUCUGAGCUAACGCAUUAAGUAUUCCACCUGGGAAGUACGAUCGCAAGGUUGAAACUCAAAGGAAUUGACGGGGUCAUAGCUGUUUCCUG